rnacentral:lncRNA from 1 species
CCCCUUGCUGAGGGAGCCAGGGGGAUGUUUACAGCUGCUUUUAAGUCUGUCUCUCUAUUAUAUUAACAAAGCGAUAAUGUUGAAACAGGUUCACUGCAGCCCCAGCUCUGGGGGAAGGUGGGAGGAAAUCCACACCUAGCUGCCUCUGCAACAUUUCAGAAAGAGGAAGAAUUGUCCCUGGCACACAGAAAAGCCUUGCUAAGCAAUCAGCUUAAGCCUUGAAGCAUGGAAUUUGAUUAUCUUUACCAUAGGGUUACUUGAGGAGGUACCUGAUGAUGCACAGCAGCUCCCCCAGCCUGCAGAAAUCUCAGAUUUGCCACCUAUGUCCACAUUCAGAGUGAAUCAAAUCCUUGGGAAAGAGUUGCACGAAUUCCUGAAAACUGGUGUGUACAGGUGUGGCAGAUCAGACAGAUCCUGAAAGUGCCUAUUGUUUAUGUACCUAUUGUAUAAACACGCUUAUAUUGUGUAAGUGCUUAUAUUUCUAGCCUGACGAUUAUAAACAGAAAAACGGUGUUUCUAGUAGUAAUCUGUUUGUUUUCUUGUGCUUGUCUUGGGUUGUGACAUGGC